rnacentral:rRNA from 1 species
CUGCUGCCUUCCGUAGGAGUUUGGGCCGUGUCUCAGUCCCAAUGUGGCUGUCCACCCUCUCAGGCCGGCUACUGAUCGUCGCCUUGGUGGGCCGUUACCCCGCCAACAAGCUAAUCAGACGCGGGUCCAUCUUACACCACCGGAGUUUUUCACACAAAUCCAUGCGGCUUCGUGCGCUUAUGCGGUAUUAGCACCUAUUUCUAAGUGUUAUCCCCCAGUGUAAGGCAGGUUACCCACGCGUUACUCACCCGUCCGCCACUAAG